rnacentral:misc_RNA from 1 species
GGAAGGAUCAUUACUGAGUUAGGGUCUCUCACGGCCCGACCUCCAACCCUUGUGUUUAACUAUACCACGUUGCUUCGGCGGGCCCGCUCCUCCGGGAGCCGCCGGGGGUUCGUCUGGAACCUCUGGCCCGUUGCCCGUCGGUGGCCCACACAACCAAACUCUUGAUGAAAUAUGUCGUCUGAGUCAAACCGAUAAAUAAAAAACAAAACUUUCAACAACGGAUCUCUUGGUUCUGGCAUCGAUGAAGAACGCAGCGAAAUGCGAUAAGUAAUGCGAAUUGCAGAAUUUCAGUGAGUCAUCGAAUCUUUGAACGCACAUUGCGCCCUUUGGUAUUCCGAAGGGCAUGCCUGUUCGAGCGUCAUUAUCACCCCUCAAGCCCGGCUUGGUGUUUGGAUUCUAGUCUGACGAAAAGGACGACUGAUCCCAAAGACAAUGACGGCGUCUGUUGGGCCCUCGGUGCAAUGAGCUUCUUUUAUAAGCACGCAUUCGAGUUUUGUAGGCCCUUCAGCACGGUCUUCCCCCCUUUUAUUUUUCUAAAGGUUGACCUCGGAUCAGGUAGGAAUACCCGCUGAACUUAAGCAUAUCAAUAAGCGGAGGAAAAGAAACCAACAGGGAUUGCCCUAGUAACGGCGAGUGAAGCGGCAACAGCUCAAAUUUGAAAUCUGGCUCUUUCGGAGUCCGAGUUGUAAUUUGUAGAGGAUGUUUCGGACACCGCCCCAGGUUAAAUUUCUUGGAACAGAAUGUCAUAGAGGGUGAGAACCCCGUCUUGACUUGGGUGUAGGGUCCAUGUGGAACUCCUUCGACGAGUCGAGUUGUUUGGGAAUGCAGCUCAAAAUGGGUGGUAAAUUUCAUCUAAAGCUAAAUAUUGGCCAGAGACCGAUAGCGCACAAGUAGAGUGAUCGAAAGAUGAAAAGCACUUUGAAAAGAGAGUUAAACAGUAUGUGAAAUUGUUGAAAGGGAAGCGCUUACAACCAGACUUGAGCGCGGCGGUUCCCCCUCGCUUCUGCGUGGGUUAUUCCGUCGUGUCCGGGCCAACAUCGGUUCUGGGGACCGGUCAAAGGCUCUGGGAAUGUAUCUACCCUUCGGGGUCGACUUAUAGCCCAGGGUGUCAUGCGGCCUCCCGGGACCGAGGAACGCGCUUCGGCUCGGAUGUUGGCGUAAUGGUUGUCAGCGACCCGUCUUGAAACACGGACCAAGGAGUCUAACAUCUAUGCGAGUGUUAGGGUGUCAAACCCUUGCGCGGAAUGAAAGUGAACGGAGGUAAGAAGCCGCAAGGCUGCAUUAUCGACCGAUCCUGAAGUUUACGGAUGGAUUUGAGUAAGAGCAUAGCUGUUGGGACCCGAAAGAUGGUGAACUAUGCGUGAAUAGGGUGAAGCCAGAGGAAACUCUGGUGGAGGCUCGCAGCGGUUCUGACGUGCAAAUCGAUCGUCAAAUUUGCGUAUAGGGGCGAAAGACUAAUCGAACCAUCUGGUAGCUGGUUCCUGC